rnacentral:lncRNA from 12 species
GCCAUACAUUUGUUGACCCUGCUUUAGGGCACUACAGCCUGGGCACUUAAAGUAAAAGAAAAAAAAAUAUUUCUGAUAAUUGUUUGCCUAAAACGUUUUUCUUAUGAAAGUGGACCUACAUCUUUAGUUUUUUGGGCUUCCCUUAUCCCUCUUAACUCACCCAUUGUCAAUUUUCUUGGUACAUCCAGAAGCAAGCCAGCGUCCAGUAGCUGAUUCACUGUGUUCAGUGUGACUGAUCCACCAAGCUUCCAUUUUCAAAACUAUUUUUGAAGAACUAUUUUUCAUUUUUUUCCCCUGCUUCCUGUUGCUACCAGUUGGAGAAUGAGAGAAACAGAGACACGGAGACUGGGGCAUAAGGAAGAUAUUUCACAUGGAAAGGUGCAUGGAUUGAGGGCAACUUUGCAGAGAAGCAAUGUGCCACGAUUUAUGCCACUGCCUCCAUGAAAUUUAAGCACUUUCCAGUGAGGCUUCAUUUCUCCCUUCUCACAAAGUUGUCCCCUAUAAGCAUGAACCUGGGUAUUGUCUUGGAAGGUUUAUUCCACUCUUCAAAACUCCCGGAAAAACUGACACACAUCAGCCUGCUGAUCUCACAAGUAUAUUCUCUGUGGCAGGAACUUGAGGAAGCCAUCAUUUCCAUCUUAAGUAGAAACUGA